UAACAAGGUCUCCGUAGGUGAACCUGCGGAGGGAUCAUUAC
rnacentral:rRNA from 2 species